AGCUCCAAUAGCGUAUAUUAAAGUUGUUGCAGUUAAAAAGCUCGUAGUUGGAUUUCUGGCCGGGGCGACCGGUCGGCGCCCUAGCGGCGUGUGCACUGUCGUCGGCCCUGGCCAUCUGCGUUAGGACGGCCGCUGGCAUUAAGUUGUCGGCGGUCUGACUGGCGCCGUUUACUGUGAAAAAAUUAGAGUGUUUAAAGCAGGCGAUCGCUGUGAAUACAUUAGCAUGGAAUAAUGAGAUAGGACUUUGGUACUAUUUUGUUGGUUUGCGCACCAAGGUAAUGAUUAAUAGGGAUAGUUGGGGGUAUUCAUAUUCAAUUGUCAGAGGUGAAAUUCUUGGAUUUAUGGAAGAUGAACUUAUGCGAAAGCAUUUACCAAGGAUGUUUUCA
rnacentral:rRNA from 1 species